AUACCAUGGUGGGGACAUUUCUCCAAUAGCUCUUUAAAUCUUUCCCAUGCGUAAAAUAAGGAUUCAUCAUCUCCUUGUCUAAACGAAGUCAUAUCAUGCCUCAUCUU